rnacentral:rRNA from 2 species
UGAAUUCAUCUCCGGGGGUAGAGCACUGUUUCGGCUAGGGGGCCAUCCCGGCUUACCAACCCGAUGCAAACUGCGAAUACCGGAGAAUGUUAUCACGGGAGACACACGGCGGGUGCUAACGUCCGUCGUGAAGAGGGAAACAACCCAGACCGCCAGCUAAGGUCCCAAAGUCAUGGUUAAGUGGGAAACGAUGUGGGAAGGCCCAGACAGCCAGGAUGUUGGCUUAGAAGCAGCCAUCAUUUAAAGAAAGCGUAAUAGCUCACUGGUCGAGUCGGCCUGCGCGGAAGAUGUAACGGGGCUAAACCAUGCACCGAAGCUGCGGCAGCGACACUGUGUGUUGUUGGGUA